rnacentral:rRNA from 1 species
AAUUUAUGGCUGUGCUAUCCUAGUCCAUCGUCAAGUACGUUGAGCACUGGUGAUAGCUGGUCAUCCUUCUGGAGAGCACUACUGUCCUUGAUUGGAUCGGUUGUUGUAAUCCAGAUCAUUUACUGUGAGUAAAUCAAAGUGUUCAAAGCAGGCUUGUGAAGCUUGUAUGCUCUAGCAUGGAAUAAUAAGAUAGGACUUGGGUUCUAUUUUGUUGGCUUUCAGAAUCAAAGUAAUGAUUGAUAGGGAUAGUUGGGGGUGCUAGUAUUUAACGGUCAGCGGUGAAAUGCUCAGACCCGUUAAAGACUAACUUAUGCGAAAGCAUU